AAGUAAAUUAGAAAAACUUUGAAACAUAGAGGUUUAAAGUCAGAACAAAAAAUUAAGAGCCAAAGUGAAAACAUGACUAAACAUAAAAAAGACAAUAUAAAUUACCCUAUGAAAAAUAUACAGUUUUGCUAUAGACCUUGAAUGAGGUCUUAUCGUAAACGACUCGAAUGAGCUGGCAGUCUCUUCUUACACAUGUAAGCCACUUGCACCAAAUACCGUGUAGAUUUCACGCGCCUUGAAAACUAAAGAGAAACAAAUCAGCGUAAGUAGGAGAUGAAGAGGGAGAUGACCACGACCCAGAGGACUUGACCUCGACGACGACGACGAUGACCGAGGUGGCCACCGACAAUGAAAAAGACCACUGCUGACUAUUAAUCAUGGUCUAUCACUCUCCAAUUCCUUCGGUUUAUCUGAAAAUUUCGACGUCGACCCACCAAGAAGCAACUGAUUCGUGGGUCAUUACUGAGGUAUUGCUUCAAACAUAUUCUUUGCUUUACAUUGGUUAAAAUCUCUUGGUCCAUGAUUUUGCUCAUGUUUGGUUCAUAUCACCAAGCCCUUUAAUUUGUUUCAAUCAUAAUUUUGGUGUUUUUGUAUUGAUGCAUUCUAUGUGUUUGUUGAAAGUCCACAUAAAAAGUUUUUGUUUGGUUAUUGAUGCAUUCUAUGUUUAUUGAUGCAUUGAUGCAUUCCAUGGGUUUGAGGCCAUAUUUUGAGUGAAUUUUGUCAACUUCACAUAACGCAUUUGAAGGUUUUGGUCUCUUCAAUGUUGAUAAAUUGAUUGUUCAAAUUUUGUCUGAGUUUUUCUUUCAAUUUAAAAUGUGGAUAAGAAAAAAAUAAUAAGGACAGACCCUCACUUGUAAAAUUUGAGACCACAAAGUGGAAUAAGAUUUUAUGUUUUUCUUCUCUAUCUUUCUUGAUAAAUUGAUUAACUGUGUGAUUCAAGAUGGAACUUAUAAAAAUAAAAAUUAAAAAUGUUGCCUAAACAUGAUUUUCUUCGGAUCCAGGUAUCAUACUUGAAAUCAUCAUGGAAAUUUGAUGUUGUUGCUUUCUUUGUGCUGUUUAUGUUCACUGUUUGAACUCUUACAUAUUUAAAUGCAAAUGAAAAUCAAACAGGGAUAAAGAAUUUUGCUCCUCAUGUAUUCACUAUUUCAAUUCUUACAUAUUCACUGUUUGAAUUCUCUUUGAAUUCUUUGUGCUGUUUAUGUUCACUAUUUGUUAGAAGGAAAGUUGCUCCUCAUUUUCCACAACUUUCACAGGAAACAAACAGAAAGAAAUUGACUAAUGUGCUUAAUUUUGUCUUGAAACAAACAGAAAGAAAGAAACAACUGUUUAUGUUCACUCUUGUCUUGACUUUUAAAACUUUAAUAAGAUGAAAUUUUUUAUCCUGUAGAACAAUACUAGUAUAGAACAUGAAAUUGAAGCCAAAAUUGACUAAUGUGCUUAAUUUUGAAUGUAAAUUGAGUUUAUUCAUUUAGAAAUAUUAUUAUUAUUAUUACUCCUUUUUAGCACUAACUGAGCCCAUUUUUUUUCUCUCCAUCUCUUUUAAUUUUUGAAUUGGAUUUUGUAUUUCAAUUUGAACCUACAAACUUGAAAGAGCAACAAAAGGAUGGAAGGUUUAAACAAUCUUAGUGAAGAAGUUCAAGAACCGAAGAGUGGUGAAGUUGAAGAACCUAAGCAGGGGAUGUGCUUUACCUCUAAGCAAGAAGUGUAUACAUUUUAUGCAAAAUAUGCAAAGCACCUUGGAUUUGCUAUAGCUUAUAGAACAUAAAAUUAUGGUAAUGACGGGGGACUGAAAUACUUUGGAAUUGAAUGUACUCGGGCGAGGAAGAGAAGAAAAAGAUCAGAAGUAAACCCUCUGGAACCAUCUUUGUCAUCCAAAAAUGAUUGUAAAGCAAAAGUAAGAAGGAGUCUACAAAACGAUGGAACAUUUAAGUUGACAACUGUUGUGCUUGAGCAUAUUCAUAACUUGGUUCCUACUGACUCACGACAUUUUGCAAUGAAUAAGAGAAUUCUUACUCUUGUGAAGAGAAGAUUAGAAAUAAACGAUGAGGCAGGGAUAGGGGUGGCUAGGAAUUUUCAUUCUAUAGGUAUUGAAGCGGGGGGAUAUAAGGCAUUAACAUUUGACGGACGAGAUGCAAGGAAUCAUAUUGAGAAGGCUAGAAGAUUGAGGCUUGGGGUAGGAUAUGCCGAAUAGUUGGACUUUAUUUUCAUAGGAUGCAAUAACAAAAUUCGAACUUCUAUUCUGCAAUGGACUUUGAUGGAGAAGGACGCUUGCAAAACUUAUUUUGGGCUGAUACAAGAAGUAGGGCAACUUAUAAAGCAUUUAGGGAUGUUACAUUUGACACAACUUAUCUCACAAACAAAUAUGACAUGUCAUUUGCUUCGUUUGUAGGAGUUAAUCGCUAUGGAAAGUCAAUUUUGUUUGGUUGUGGGUUGUUAUGUAAUGAGAACACUGAGAGAUUUGUAUGCCUAUUCGGAGCUUAGUUAAGUUGCAUGUCAGACACUCCUCCAAAAGCUAGAAUAACUGACUAGUGCAAAGCUAUGCAAAAUGCCAUAGAAAUUAUCUUCCCACAUGCUCGACAUCGUUGGUGCUUAUGGCAUAUAAUGAAGAAAAUUUUGAAAAAAUUGAGAGGCUAUUCGCAAUAUGAAUCUAUAAAGUUUGCUUUGCAAAAUGCAGUUUAUGAUUCUUUAACAAAAGAUGAAUUUGAUGAAGAAUAGCAAGCGAUGAUCGCAAAGUUCAGUCUAAAUGAUAACGAGUGGUUUGGGGUAUUAUAUAGUGAGCGACAUAGGUGGAUUCCUACCUAUGUUAAAGACAUUUUUUGGGCUGGCAUGUCAACUACACAAUGAAGUGAGAGUAUGAAUGCAUUUUUUGAUGGACAUGUGAACUCGAAGACUACUUUAAAGCAAUUUAUUGAGCAGUAUGACAAUGCCUUGAGAAGUAAGGUAGAGAAGGAGACCAAAGUAGACUUUCAAUCUCGAAACAAAUUGUAUGAUUUCUUAACGAUGUAUGCUUUUGAGAAGCAACUUUGUGCAGCUUACACAAAUGCAAAAUUUUAAAGAGGUACAAGCAGAAAUGAAACGACUAUUGUACUAUCGUGCGACUCUUGUCAAAGAGAAAUGAUCAAUUUGUACUUAUCAUGUAAAAAAGGUUGUUUUAGUCGGUGAACAAAAGAAGAAAGUAGAAUUUGUUGUAUAUUAUAAUUCAAUUGAAUGUGACAUCCAAUGUAUGUGUCGGCGGUUUGAGUUUAGGGGCAUUAUGUGUGCCCAUUCACUUAGUGUACUCCUUGAGAGGUGCAUAUAUGAGGUUCCAGAUAAAUACAUUAUGCCGAGGUGGAAAAAAGAUUUAAAAAGAGGAUACACAUGCAUUCCAACCACAUACACUACUUCUAGAGUUGUUCUCAAUGCAAAAGUGUAUGAUAACUACCACAAGAUAUUGGAUGAAAUUAUAGAAAUUGCAGCCAACGAUGAUGGUAAACACAAAGUCAUUCAACUUGGGUUAGUAGAAAUCAAGAAUAGAGUGAGACAAGAUUAAUCGGGUUAUGUGGGUAAUGUGUCACCUUCUACUAGUACUGUCCCACCUUCUAAUACUUCCCCUAAAACUCAGCUUGGUCGCAGUACUACAAAUGCAAGCAUGACUCACAAGGUGCUUAGUCUUAUGGUUGCUCACCAAAGAGGUCAUCCAUGUACCAAACAGAAGGUUAGCAAAGUGGAUGAAAUCAUGAAUUGUUUCAAGAGAAAGAAUAAAAAGGCUACAAAAGUACAAGUAAAUUUUUAAUUUUGUUUGAUAUAUGAAUUUCAUAAUUUUCUUUACUUAACUUAUUCACGAAUGUGUGAUCCUAUAGGGUCGUAAGUUGAAUUUUGCUUGUAUGGAUGCCAUGCAAGCAAGUACGCACGAACCGGUGCCGCAAGCUCAACCAUACUAUUUUCCUUGUAUGGAUGGCACACAAGAGAGUAGGCAAGAGGUAGCUUAAUGCAAAUGGUGGACAAUAUUAGAAGCAAAUCUCUUAGUCAUUCAGGAAUGGUGAACAACAGAAGCAGUCAAAGUUUGAUAAUUGCUUCAAAAUUGUUGACUUAAAUAUAGAUGCGGAUCUAAUGCCCCAUUUUAUUUUUAGUUUCGCAGUUGUAAUUUUAUGACUUUGGUUUGUAAACUUUGGAUACUUUGGUUUGUAAAUGUAGAAAUGUUAUGGUUGGACACAUUUUAUGGUUUAUAGACAAGUGACAUAUUGUAUUAAUCUGGCCCAACUCAAAAUUCAGUUGCUUUGUUAUAAGGAUGGUUCAAUAAAUGGAUGCUACAAGUGACAUCAUUAU